GACUCGUUCGUGCAGUAGUUAGCGCUCCUGACCGUUGCGCGAGGAUCGUGGGUUCGAUUCCCACAUCAGUCA
rnacentral:tRNA from 1 species